rfam:Zea mays cultivar B73 chromosome 4, whole genome shotgun sequence.
GCCCCCGUGAAGAUCACAAGACCUACCGAUAGGAAGUGCCGUUUGACACUGUAAGCAGCAGCUGCUGCACUCAGCUGCAGGUGUUCCAUCUCUCGACCAUAACCUUUGUGGUUUGGUCAGGCUGGAUCUCCCAUCUGCAUCUGCUCUGUGUUUCAGCUGUGGUGUGUGAUUAAGAUCGGGUCUCUGAGGGAC